ensembl:lncRNA
GAACGACUUUCCUUGGAGAACCAGGUUGGAGGGAAAUUCAUUCAGUGGAAAUUCUGUAUGGUUUGCAAGAGAUGGAUUGGAGAGUGGCCUGAGGCAGGUAGACUCAGGUAGGCCAAGUCCUGCUUCCACAGCCGUGCCAAGAUGAGCCAUACCAGACUCUUUGAGGACAGAGAUGGCAGGAGAAACAAAUGGCACUUCCCUUGUCAUCCCUUUGCUGAGGUAGCAGUGCUGUGAAGAGCAGUGUUUGGUUUGUUGGGUCACACUAUCUGUGGCAAUGGCUUUCACCAGCUGCAGGACUGG